UACGGAGGGUGCAAGCGUUAUCCGGAAUCAUUGGGUUUAAAGGGUCCGCAGGCGGACUUAUAAGUCAGUGGUGAAAUCCUACAGCUUAACUGUAGAACUGCCAUUGAUACUGUAAGUCUUGAAUUCGGUCGAAGUGGGCGGAAUGUGACAUGUAGCGGUGAAAUGCUUAGAUAUGUCACAGAACACCGAUAGCGAAGGCAGCUCACUAGGCCUGGAUUGACGCUCAGGGACGAAAGCGUGGGGAGCAAACAGG
rnacentral:rRNA from 1 species